rnacentral:rRNA from 1 species
UACGUAGGGCGCAAGCAUUGUCCGGAAUUAUUGGGCGUAAAGAGCUCGUAGGCGGCUUGUCACGUCGGGUGUGAAAGCCCGGGGCUUAACCCCGGGUCUGCAUUCGAUACGGGCAGGCUAGAGUUCGGUAGGGGAGAUCGGAAUUCCUGGUGUAGCGGUGAAAUGCGCAGAUAUCAGGAGGAACACCGGUGGCGAAGGCGGAUCUCUGGGCCUGUUCUGACGCUGAGGCGCGAAAGCUAGGGGAGCGAACAGG